rnacentral:lncRNA from 1 species
UGGAUAAUAUGAUCAAAUUAAAUAAUUUAAAAAUUUGAUUAAAAUUUACCGAAUUAAUCUUCAACAAAAAUGGACUAUCAAAUAACAGAAAAUUCUGGUCUGUAUUAGAUUAUCUACAUAACAAAUAACAAAGGUACAUGUUACCACUAGAUCAUCCCUAAAAUAAACUAUGAUUUGUGAGCCACUAUGAGCAUGAUUCGUAUUUUAAAGAGAUAACCCAGUUGUUAAUUUAUUGGCGGCGUAGAGAUAUAUAACAAUUGUCUUGUUAAUAAGUAUUUCCCUUAUAUCAUAAUUGAAUUAUAUUCCAAUAUGAUUGAACACUUGAAAAAUUCCAGAACUGUUCCUAUUAGGCUGUAACAGUGGUGGGGUUAAAAAAACCUUAGGUGCAAACAAGUCUUACAUAGCAGCCAGGUAGGACUUAAUUGUCUGGAUUUCUUGCCCUAGAUCUGAGCCAAGCACCAACCCUGAAUUCCUGCCACAAUCCAUGACAAUACCAAAACCAACACAUGAUCCAAACCAAACCACCUUGGACGCCAAGAAUAGACAAAAGUUGAGUUGUCUAUUUCUGGUUAUUGUUUGGGGUGGCAUGUCUACGGUUUUGG